AAGUCGUAACAAGGUUUCCGUAGGUGAACCUGCGGAAGGAUCAUUAGCAAGGAGGAGGCCAGGCUGUAUGUGGGCCUGGCCGAAUAUUUACUCUGCCUGUACUGGCUGGCUGGGUGGCUGGCUGGCUGGGCGGGGGAGGAGAUAUAUAUUUACGCUUGUAAUGUUUGAAGGAGGAAAGGAGAGGGAAUGAUGAGGACAACUUUUAACAAUGGAUCUCUUGGCUCCU
rnacentral:misc_RNA from 1 species